UACGAAGGUGGCUAGCGUUGUUCGGAAUUACUGGGCGUAAAGCGCACGUAGGCGGCUCUGUAAGUUGGGGGUGAAAUCCCGAGGCUCAACCUCGGAAUUGCCUUCAAGACUGCAGGGCUUGAGUUCGGGAGAGGUGAGUGGAAUUCCCAGUGUAGAGGUGAAAUUCGUAGAGAUUGGGAAGAACACCAGUGGCGAAGGCGGCUCACUGGCCCGUAACUGACGCUGAGGUGCGAAAGCUUGGGGCGCAAACAGG
rnacentral:rRNA from 1 species